UUGGAGUUUGGUUAGGAUUUGAUUUAGGGUUUAGGGUUUGGUUGGGGUUUGGUUUAGGAUUUAGGAUUUGGUUAGGAUUUGGUUUAGAAUUUGAUUGGGAUUUGGUUUAGGAUUUAGGAUUUGGUUGGGAUUUGGUUUAGGAUUUAUUUAGGAUUUGAUUUAGGGUUUAAGAUUUGGUUAAGGUUUGGUUUAGGAUUUAAAGUUUGGUUAGGAUUUUAUUUAGAGUUUGGUUAGGAUUUGAUUUAGGGUCUAGUUGGGAUUUGGUUUAGAGUUUAGGAUUUGAUUUAAUGUUUAGGAUUUGAUUUAAUGUGUAGAGUUUGGUUUAGGAUUUAGAAUUUGAUUUAGGGUUUAAGGUUUAAUUAGGAUUUGAUUUAGGAUUUAGGAUUUGAUUUAGGAUUUAGGAUUUUAUUAGGAUUUAUUUAGGAUUUAAGGUUUAAUUAAUUUUGGCCUAAAGUUUGAAUGAAGUCUAAUAGGAUUUUAACUAGGAUUAAAUUAAGAUUGAAUUGAGAUGUAUUUGAGAUAUAUUUGUGAUCAUUCUAAUAUUUCUUUAAGAUUUCUUAUUGUUUCUUUGAAUUUUCUUUGAGGUUUCUUUGAAUUUGAUUAAAGCUUACUUAGCAUUAUUAUGGUCUAAUUAGAGAUUAGUCAGCAUCCUAUUAGAGUUAGGAUUUUUUUGUUACAAUUUUCAUUCUAUCUUCCACAGUGAGGUGCCCAGAGCAUUCUCAAGCAAGACUUCACGUAUUACGACAAUGUGCAAAGUAAUUAUGCUUUGUCCUUCUGAGCUUGUAUGAUUCAUUUGCCAUAGGUUGAAGGUCUCUACCAAAAUCUUGUUGGAGGACCAUUCCAAUAGCAAAGUU
rnacentral:lncRNA from 1 species